rnacentral:rRNA from 1 species
GUAGUCUCGCACAGAUGCAUAUCAAUAAGCGGAGGAAAAGAAACUAACAAGGAUUCCCCUAGUAACGGCGAGUGAAGCGGGAAGAGCUCAAAUUUGAAAUCUUAAAGGGUUUCCCUUUACGAAUUGUAGUUUAAAGAAGUGUUUUCUGUUGAGGUUUUGGUAAAAGUUCUUUGGAAUAGGACAUCAUAGAGGGUGAGAAUCCCGUAUUUGACCCUUACUUUCAACUUUGUGAUACACUUUCAAAGAGUCGGAUUGUUUGGGAAUGCAGUCCAAAAUGGGUGGUAAAUUUCAUCUAAAGCUAAAGUAUUGGCGAGAGACCGAUAGCGAACAAGUACCGUGAGGGAAAGAUGAAAAGAACUUUGAAACGAGAGUUAAACAGUACGUGAAAUUGUCAAAAGGGAAGCGUUUGACACCAGUGUUGUUUUUCUGAAAAUCAAUUAAAGAACUGUUUAUGCUAAGUUGUUUAGACUUUAUCAGCUAUCUGUUUAGUUUUGAGCUUUUCUUUAAUGCACUUUUCAGUUAACAAGUCAACAUCAAUUUCUUUUGCUGUAAAAAAGCUUGAGGAAGGUGGCUUGAGAUUCGUCUUAAGUGUUUAUAGCCUCUUGCCUAUGCAGUCGGAGAGAUUGAGGUCUGCAGCGUAGAUCCUUCGGGGCUAAAUGCAUUUGUGCUAAGUUAUAGCAUUUUAUAGACAACUUGUUGACUAUGAUUUGUCUUGUAGCUUACUCGCUUAUGUUAUUUUACCUACGCUUAGGAUGUUGAUCUGUAGUGCGUGCGC